rnacentral:rRNA from 1 species
AUUGAACGCUGGCGGCAUGCCUUACACAUGCAAGUCGAACGGCAGCACGGACUUCGGUCUGGUGGCGAGUGGCGAACGGGUGAGUAAUGUAUCGGAACGUACCAUUGAGUGGGGGAUAACGCAGCGAAAGUUACGCUAAUACCGCAUAUUCCCUCCGGAGGAAAGCAGGGGACCGCAAGGCCUUGCGCUCUUUGAGCGGCCGAUAUCAGAUUAGCUAGUUGGGGGGGUAAAAGCUCACCAAGGCGACGAUCUGUAGCGGGUCUGAGAGGAUGAUCCGCCACACUGGAACUGAGACACGGUCCAGACUCCUACGGGAGGCAGCAGUGGGGAAUUUUGGACAAUGGGGGCAACCCUGAUCCAGCCAUGCCGCGUGAGUGAAGAAGGCCUUCGGGUUGUAAAGCUCUUUCGGCCGGGAAAAAAUCGCAUGGAUUAAUACUCUGUGUGGAUGAUGGUACCGGAAUAAGAAGCACCGGCUAACUACGUGCCAGCAGCCGCGGUAACAC